rnacentral:piRNA from 1 species
AACUCAGAAGGAGGAGGCUGGAGGUCG